rnacentral:lncRNA from 1 species
GAAAUCCAUGUACAGGGGUCACAAAAAGCCUUGCAGUUGAAGCUGCAUGCUCGUGACAUGUCUGAUUAAUAUUGGUUCAUAGGAAGCAAAUCACCUAGGACAAGGUGAAACCUUCUCUGUAGGCAAGCAGGCAAAAAGGAAUAAAUGUUCCCAUCCUGAUCAAAAGGAAUAAAAAUAUUCUGAAAAUUGCCACAUCCAAGCUAUUAGAUGGUAUGCUUAGGAAGUAUUGUUAUUGUUAAGAUAUAAAUCCAUCCAUCAUGACAAAGAAGGUGAUCUUUUUGUAAUCCUUCUUGAAAAAAUAGAAUGAUUUGAAUUUCGACAAGUUAACUAUACAUCCUUGCCAAAAAAAAUUGAAUUACACUUCUCAACGAAUGGACAGUUUUGUCAUACCAAGAGACAUCUGGAAUCCUGAAGAGCAAGCAACGUUGGGAGUCCGCACUACUUUGUACCGCAGAAAAAAAUUAAUACCUCACUAAAACCUCCAGGUUGCAUGAUCUCUUUAGCAUAAUGGUUCAGCUUGCAGUUGUUUCAGCUUCCAUCCUCCAGGUGGCUUACCUCUAGGGGCAGCCCACUUGGAAGUUGGAAAUUUGGAAUGGAAAGACUUUCACCACGAUGAUAUUGUAGGGCAUGUCACAACGAUGAGCAUUCAUUUUCAUCUUGCUACAAAGCUCAAUGAUAGAAGAACACCAAUUGGCAAGAAAAAUUCAAUGGGAUUGAACCAACAAGAGAUCAAGGACAUCAUAAUACAUUCAACUUGUUUACACCAAAGGAAUCCAGGACAAUAGUUUUAAACAAACAUGGAAAACUGCAGUCAAUAUUAACUGGAAAUGGGUCAAAAGUGGUAUGUCAAUAUAAAGUGGGCAAAUAUUGAUUCACAGCUCAUUCAAAAGAAAGCAGCAAUCAGCAACAAGCAAUAACAGAACAUGUCCACUCAUGAUCUAGAGGCUUUGUGUGCAAUGGACAGCUGUAAAAAAUGCCAUCUCUGAACAAUAAAAAUUAGCAAGGUACAUCUUGUAACACAGCUACAACCAAAAAUUCACUUUCCUAAUCUCACACCAAGCGCAUCAAAAGGAACACAUUGCCAAGACAGAGAUAGAGAAGCACAAUAGACUGUCAACUUGCAUAAUCAUCGACAUCAACAUAGCCUUUUGGUUCCAAGCAAGUUGGGGUAGGCUAGAAUUGAAACCCAACAAGAAGUCACCAAAAAGAAAGAGGGAGAGGGAGAGAGAGAAAGGGGAGGGGGGAAAAGCUUUUGAGAGAACUAAAAGGGAAAAGGCCUAAUCACGGUUCAGGCGCGUGCAUAGCUUCUUUUCAAGCACUUCUAUCCAAACACAACUCCUUCGGGAUAUUUCAUUCCUUCAAGUCCCUUUUGAUAGCCUCCUCCCAUAUUAAGUUUGGCCACCCUCUACCUCUCUUCACAUGUCAACUUGCAUAAUCAUAGUUAUCAAAAAUUAAUCUUUCAUUUCCCAUGCACAGAUUAUGGGCUCAAUAAAUGUAAAAAUGGCAGAUGCAAAUGACACCAUGCACUAAUCAUAAGGAGCAGAUUACAGGAUAGGCAUGCAGCAAAAGUAUAUAUCAGUCAACAAAAGAAACCAGAAAGGUUAGCAGAAUCUAGCAACUAAAGGCGUCUCACUUCUGAAUUGCUAACUACUUCCCUCCGUCCCAAAAUAUUAGCCGUUUUAGCUCUUGAUUUUAUGUCUAUGUUCAAAUGAAUGGUGAUGGAUGUGACAUAUAUAUAAAACAAAUACAUUAAUUAUUGUAUGAAUCCACUAAAAAGGUAAAACGGAUUUUAUUUUGGGACAAAGGGAGUAGAUGAUAAGACAGGUUAUUCGUCAUGCACAAGAUAAUGGGCAUCCAGCUUGCUACAGCUGCUAAAAAAGUAACAUGUUAGAAUAGAGCUACCAACAGUCAAGUUUGAUCUGGAAUACUAAAGCCUAGCUGUUUAGUUUGAUCUGUAAAUGAAGGAUGACCUCUCCUGCUCUCCAAAUUCUGAACAUAAAGGAUUACAGAAGUAGACAAUCAAACUACCCCACAUGCAUACCACCUCCCAUAAAAUAAGCAUUAGUUUCCAUAUUUGGUCUCUUAUUUGCAUCCAUCACCUGAUCUCUUAUAUCAAGAAAUUGCUUGGGAUGGUAAACUGCUGGGUGUGCAUGCAUUUGCAUAAAAUCUGUUGCGGCCAUCGGCAAAGAGCCGCUCUCUAGGUUGAUACACUACCGGAAUCAGCUCCUUUGCCGUGUGUCUCAGACACACGGCAAAGGCCAUUUUACACUCGGCAAAUGCUUUGCCGAGUGUAACACUCGGCAAAGAACGCUCGGCGAACUGUACAUCGGCAACAGCCUCUUUGCCGAGUACUAUUUGUCGGGCACUCGGCAAAGGCUUUGCCGAGUGCCUAAUGGCGCUCGGCAAAGAAAAGUCACCGUCACGGCGCCAAGUAACGGUGACGGAUACUUUGCCGAGUGCCGCCUGCGGCACUCGGCAAAGAGGUCAAUUUUGCCGAGUGUUCGCUCGAGAGGCCCUCGACAAAGACUGACCCAGUGGGCCCCACUGCCAGUCCCUGUGCCGAGAGCUCUAGUAGGCACUCGGCAAAGGAGGACUCUUUGCCGAGUGUCUGUUUGACAGGUACUCGGCAAAGAACCCUCCAGUGGGCCCCUUUGCCAGUCCCUUUGCCGAGUGCCUUGGCAAUAGCACUCGGCAAAGAUGUCUUUGCCGGUUCCCAGGUUUCCUUCUUUGCCGAGUGCCAUGGUCAGCACUCGGCAAAGAUGUCUUUACCGGUUCCCAGGUUUGCUUCUUUGCCGAGUGCCAUGGUCAUAGCACUCGGCAAAGCGACCCUUUGCCGAGUGUUACACUCGGCAAAGUGACCAGAAUGUCCCUUUUUUAUUUGCUUUUGUUGUUCCAUCCAAACAAACAAAAGAUAUAUAUGAUUCACAUCACAUUAUAUAUCAAUCACAUCACAGAAUGAACACAUUUAUCAUCAACACCAUAUAUAUCACAAAGUCUCACAAAUAUAAGUAAGGAUCAUCACAAAACAGAUAUAAGUCUGCGUCAUCACUAACAUCACCAAGUAUCUCACAAGAUAAAGUUUAACUAACAUCACCAACACUCAUAAAGGUAAGUCUGGAUCAUCACAAAACAAAUCAUCAACGAGGUGGGCAUCUGGACUGGUUCGGCGAAGGGCUGGACGAAGCAUGAGGGUUGUUCGACGCCGCCGAUUGACCCUGCACAGAGAAGAGAUUGUAUGUGUGAGAACAUAUGAAUAUAUAUCAUGCAGUACUAAAAUUUUGAUACUCACAGGAGUAGUGAACUCUGUAGGGUCAGCUGCAGGGAACAACGGAGGUGGUGGAGCAUGACCCUGUGCGGCGCCAAGGCUCUGCAUGUACGCGAACAUCUCCGCCAUCCUCUUCUCUAGCUCCUCACGUUGCCUCCUCUCAUCAUCUAGCUGAGUCUGUAAUAUUUCGCCCUAAUGUUACGAUAAUGCAAAGAGAAGAUAUAUAAAAAUCAAUGAACGAUGAAUAGAUAAGGAAUAACCUGGAGUUGCUGGAUACGAUGCUGUGAGGUGUCCUGCCGAGGUCGUAUGGCUGGGCUCGCGCUCGUGCUCCUUGCUCGCGUAUAAUGGAGUUUCUGUGCCUCGUACAUGCUCUUUGGCAGAACGUGAUCCUCCGGAAGCAGGCUGCCAAUAACUGUCAACAAACCAUCGAAUGCGUCUCGACUCAUGCUAUACUGCGACUUGAACGCCAUUAUACGCCCAAUGGCAUCCAGUUGAGAAACCUUUGUCUUGCCGUGAAGGGGUUUCUGUGCCGCGUCAAACAUGUCGUAGAAUGUCUUUGCGGUCGCCUCUGGCUCGUCCUCCGUACGUCCUUCGGCGAACUGUGCCUCGUGAUAGUCGUUCAACAUGUCUCCUACCCCGGCAUCAGCAUCGUAAUCCUCGACGCGUUGUCUCACCACCUCCUCUCUCGUGCGAUGCGCUUCACCAUGGAAGAUCCACCGAGUAUAGUCCGGCGUAAAUCCAUUCUUCCAAAUAUGUUCUACCAUGACCUUCUUUGGUUUUCUUUUCCGGUUGUCACAUUUGCUACACGGACAAGGGACUAGGCUAGCUCCUUUAGCAGCUUCGCCAUAUGCCCGUUCCACGAAAGCAUCGGUCUUCCUAAUCCAUUCUGGGGUGACAUCAUUACGUCGAACGCGGCCCGUGUACAUCCACUCACGGUCCUCCAUCCUCUAACAUAUAUAACCGAGUAUAGUUUAAUAUAGACAUGUAAUGCAUGUACACUACGUUCCUACCUUCUAAUAGGUGAGGAUAGGUCCUAAUCCCACCCGCGGUUGCGUAGAUGGAGUUAGUUUCCAUGCUCUACUCCGAUCCGAGAUAGAAUUUCGGCAGCACCUCCCCGCUGUUCUCCGGAUACACGUCCUGGCAGAGAGAGUGUACUGUCCGGAGAACAACAGGGAGGUGACGCCGAAACUCUUUCUCGGACCGGAGUAGAGCAUGGAAACUAACACCAUCUACGCAACCGCAGGCUGUCCAAAAAAUGUGGACAAUUCGAAACUGAUACAUUUGUAGAUAUGCAAAGAUCUGCAUAUCUACACCGUAUCUCUUUCGAACGGGAGACGCCUAACUGGGUUACGUGAUCUACGACCAUGAUGCGGAAAUAGAGGUUAUACCUAGGGUGGCGGUGGAGUCAGGCUAGUGGGGCUGUGGCGGGUCGGUGCAGUGGCGACGCGACGCGGUGCAGGCAGACCCGCAGCGGCUAGGAAGACCUCUGCAAAAAAUACAUGCCUGUCAACAAAAAGAGUUAUGUGUAAAUGUGCACAUGUGCACUAAAGUUUUACAAAGGAAAACUUUAGACCUCUACCAUAAAAGUUUUACAAAGGAAAACUUUAGAUGUGCACUAAACUUUAGACCUCUGUCAACAAAAGGAAAACUUUCUAAACCUACUUGGCCUCUAAUAUGUGUAAAUGUGCACUAAAGUUUUACAAAGGAAAACUUUAGACCUCUACCAUAAAAGAGUUAUGCAGCGUAGUUUCCAAUCAUAUAUAUAUAUAUACACACUAGCAUAACAAGUUAAAUUACAAAUGUAAGCAUGUAACCUACAAAAGCAUCAAUGAGAUAGAAAUGAUGUAGACCCACAUCGAGGACGACGAUUUUAAUCGAGGUAUCGAGAAGCUCAUGGUUUUUCCUAAUCUUCAUUGGAGCCCCUAGCAAGGAUGCCCAUGCGAGGGACAAGCUCUCGACCAAGUAGCUCUAUUGAUAGCCCACAUUCCUUCCCUAUGCGCAAGUGAGUCUUCAUGGUAGUCUUCUUUCGGAUCUCUUUCCAUUAUCUUUAUUAUCAUGUAUUUGACCAAUACGUUGUUGGUCACACAUUUCAUUUUGUACACGCUCAAUGACCUCACCACAUUUCAUAGGAUCUUAUAGGACUACAAGCCCUAGUGUACAAGCAAUGGUACAUGGAAGCACUAGGUGGCAAGGGUAUGGAAAUCUCACUAAGCAGCAGGCCUAAACUUAGGGCAAGUGCUAAAUAGUUGUGAGGAUCUAGAUGGCUAGAGAACUACUUCUACAAAGUUACACAAGCAACAAGCACAACACAAGUACUAAUAAAAAUGUUACAUACACUCACUAGGGCGCGGGCGGACGGGCGGGCGCCGGCGAGGGCGCGGGCGCCGGCGAGGGAGGCCGCGGCGAGGGCGGCCGCGGCGGGCGCGGGCGUGGGCGGACGCGGCCGGCGACGGCAUGGCGGGCGGCGAGCCGGCGAUGGCGCGGAGCGGCGGCGGGCGCGCAGGGAGGCGGCGGUGGGCGCGAUAGAGAGGAGACAGCGAGAGCAGAGAAAUGAGGAGGAAGAAAGCCGCGGGCGAGUAUAUUCGCCUUCUUUGCCGAGUGCCCGUGAUCUGGCACUCGGCAAAGUUUUUUAAAUUUUUAAAAUAAACUUUGCCGAGCGCCAGAUCGGUGGCACUCGGCAAAGGAUCCUUUGCCGAGUGUCUAUCAUCCGACACUCGGCAAAGAUUAACUUACACAUCUUUGCCGAGUGCCACCCUAGGGGCACUCGGCAAAGAAGUCUUUGCCGAGUGUCUUCUUUGGACACUCGGCAAAGUACAUUUUUAUUUUUUUUUAUUUUGCCAACCAAAAUUUUUGUGGUAUGUUCCUACACUAUAUAGACCUACAUGUACUAUUUUGGGACAAUUAUAACAGUGUUUUCUAUAGCUAGUACAUUUAAUUUGUUUAUUUGAAUUUUUUCGGAAAUUUCAGAUUUGAACUGCAGGUCACUUGAAACUUGGAAAACCGUGCAUGCAAAAAUAAUAUCCAUGCUACAUAGCACAAGUUACGACCGAUUUCAGGAGCGGACCGGAAACUUCGAGCACCAUGCUCACUCAACAUGACCGUGAACUUGCCAUACAGCUGUUUAAAAAAUUUAUAAAACACAAACAAACUUAGAAAAUCAUGAAACUUGUCCACAUGUCAUGAUAUCAUAUGUAGAGUCUGAUAAAAAAUUUAGAAUGUUUGGAGAAAGUUGUGAGACACUAUGUGUAUAAACCUAAGAGAACCACACAUGAAAUCAUAGAGUUUCAAUGUGAAUCUCUUAGGUUUGUACACAUAGUGCGUUACAGCUUUCUCGAAACUUUUUCAAAUUUUUAUCACAGCCUCUACAUAUGAUAUCAUGACACGUGGACAGGGUUCAUGAUUUUCUGACUUUGUUUCUGUUUUAUACAAUUUUUAAACACCUGGAUGGCAAGUUUACGGUCAUGUUGAGUGAGCAUGGUGCUCGAAGUUUUCGGUCCGCUCCUGAAAUCGGUCGUAACUUGUGCUAUGUAGCAUGGAUAUCAUUUUUGCAUUCACGGUUUUCCAAGUUUCGAGUGACCUGCAGUUCAAAUCUGAAUUUUCCGAAGAAAUUCAAAUAAACAAACUAAAUGUACUAGCUAUAGAAAAAACUGUUAUAAUUGUCCCAAAAUGGUACAUGUAGGUCUACAUAGUGUAGAAAUAUACCACAAAAAUUUUGGUGACCAAAAUAAAAAAAUAAAAAUAUGCUUUGCCGAGUGUCUACAGAGGACACUCGGCAAAAACUAUGUUUGCCGAGUGCCAGAUAUUUGACACUCGGCAAAGACUGACGGCCGUCAGUUGUAGACGGCCGCUAACGGCCCUUUGCCGAGAGCCAUGUUUGCCGAGUGCUCGGCUGUGCCGAGUGUCCUACACUCGGUAAACUAGCUCUUUACCGAGCGCAGGACGUUGCCGAGUGCGGCACUCGGCAAAGCCUUCUUUGCCGAGUGCCCGAUAAAAAGCACUCGGCAAAGCCACCGGCACUCGGCAAAGGCGCGAAUUCCGGUAGUGAUAUUCACCAAAUCAAAAGUGUGCAUCCCAUUCUGAGAAGUCGAUACCAUAUUCAUAUCCACUCUGCCAUCGCCCUGUAUCAGGUGAGGGGAUGUCAUAUUCAUAUCAUCGCUUCUGUCCCCAUGUAUCAAAUGUGGAGAUGCCAAGUUCAUAUCAAUUCUAUCACCAUGUAUAAAGUGUGGUGAUGCCAAGUUCAUGUCCACUCUUUCCCUCUGCAUCAAGUGAGGAGAUGACAUGUUCAUGUCAAGUCUUCCCUCUCCAUGAAUAAGGUGGGUCGUUGGCAUUUUCAUCUCAACUCUUCUGUCCCUAUGAAUCAGGGCAUUGGCAUUUGAUGUCAUGGCAUCACCAUGGACUAAUGCUGGCACAUUUGGCGCUAUGUCCGCAUCAACCCUUCUAUCCCCCUGAAUCAGAGCUGAGGUGUGUGACGCCAUGUUCUUAUCAACUCUUGUAUCUGCAGGCACCUGACCAGUCACAGUCAUAUUUACAUCAACCUGUUGAUCACCUUGCUUGCUGUGAUCAGGCCUAAUUAGUCUGUCCUUUGCUUCCUUCAAGGCUGACAACACAAACUCCUUCAGCUCAGGUUCUCUUGCUCCGAUGUCAAUGACAUCUUCAAAAUAUUCGUGGCCACAAAUAUACAAGUCAUCAUAAAUGCCCAGAUCCCUAUCUGAUUCCAUGCGAUUGGUGUUUGCGGAUGAAUUAAGUACCUAAAAUCCUUCCUCCAGCGGUUCAGGAUGUAAUUUGAUGGCAGUAUCAGUACAUUCUCUUGCUUCAGAACAGCCAGACAAAGAAUACCCCUCGAGGGAAAGGAGCGACAAAUGCACCAAACAUCCUUGUCAGAAUUGUUGUAAACAACUGUAUAGUCGACCUUCUUUCCCUGUAUUAACUCACUGACAAUGUAAGUAAUUGAGUUCCCACUUCUGUCUACCUCUUUACAAGUAACAUGCAUCAAUUGCUUAAUCUCAUCUUGGAACGUUUGAAACAUGGUUACUGUGUAGAGCUCCACAAGUUGCUCCUCAAAGGGCAAUCCCGACAACAAAGUGAGUCUAGAAUAGUAUGGCCGCAAAUCGGCAUAUGUUUCUCUUUCCAGCUUCUCUUUCAGAGUAGCCUCGUAUUGCUCAAGGAAAACUGGAAGGGUGGUUUUACUCACAACACUAUCAAAAUAUGGAUCAGUUUUUUCAGCCUUCCUGAUAGCAGAGGUGCCAGCCCAGAAUGAAUGAUUGAUAUACCCAGGUGCCCACUGCUUCCGACAACUGUACAAAGCAGAGAACCACUCAUUGUCUUUGAGAUUGUACUGGUCGACCAUGGCCCCCCACUCUUUUUCGAAGUCAGUAAGAGUGACGCUAUCAUAUACAACCUCCUUGAAGCUUGAGGAAAUUGCCUCUUUCUCAUGUGUGCGAACCACAUUUUCAAGUAGCUUCUUCAAGAUGUGCCAAAAGCAAAAUCGAUGCCUUGCAUUUGGAAACACCUCAGCCACAGCCUCUGAAAUGACAUCUGAAUAGCCGGUCGUGAUUGCCUCUGGGGGUUUGCCAUUCAUACAGCUCAACCACCUCUUCAACAACCAAACAUAGUUCUCCUUGCUGUCACCAGACAGGAGACUACAACCAAGAAGCACAAGGUGACCAUGGUUAUUCACCCCAAGGAGUGUGGCUAAUGGGAGGCUGGCGCAUGAGUGUUGUAAAUACAUCAUGUCAAGUGUAAUGACGUCGCCAAAAUAGCGGUAUUGCGCCUGGGCUCUAGAAUCAGUCCAAAAGAAAUUCUUCACAAGAUUUUCCCGAUCAAGAUCCCAGCUGUGGAUAAAGUUUGGUUUCCUGUGUUGCAUCUUUUCAAUGAACUUCUUGAGUGAAUUGAGGUCAUCCUCCCCGAAAAGCGGCACAAAACUCUCCAACCUACUAAACCUCUGGCUACCAACAGCAGCCCCAACGCUAGCACUCCUCUUGGGUCGUGUCGGGAACUUCCUUGUCUCAGCAAUCUCGCUCAGCGACUUCUCCACCAUUUCAUCCAUCUCAUCUGUAAUAUUGGCCUUCUUCUUUGCUGACUCAGGCAUCUUCCUGUAGGCCUUUAAGAAUCUCACCAUAUCUGGAGUACAAGGAUGGUUAUGCUCCAAGCCGACGGAUUCCACCUUCCACCUUCCAUCCACACGCUUGUCCCGGAUGAUCAACAUCGUCUUACAUCCAGUCUUCUCGGCAGUGCCACGGCGAGACUUCUUCUCCUUGGCAGCCAACCCCCGUUUGCUGCGGAGUGGGUAGCGGGUACCUGGGACGUCAGAGGGGGCAGCGCCCGUCCCAGAUUUGCCGUUGUACAUGCAGGUGAAGGUGGAGCGGUAGCGGAGCCCCUCGCAGUUGUGGCAAGUGCGGCGCACGGCAUGAAACCCCGUGUGGUAGGCGUGGACCUUGUAUAGCGCGAAAGCCUCGUCCACAGAGUCGAACACCACGCCCACCCGCGGCACGAGGGCCUCCUCCAGCGUGUUGGGGACGAAGACGAUGUCCCCGCUGCCACCGUCCUCCUCGUCGUCAGAGGGGAUGACCACUUCAUCGUCCUCCACGACCACCUCUUCGUCUUCCUCCUCCUCCGCAGGGUAUCCGUUGAGGUCGUCGGCAAGCUCCUCCUUGACCUGCCGCGCAUCCUCCCCGUCGGACUCGAGGCUAGGGUUGUGAGCCCCGGUGGACCGCCUCUUCGAACCCGCCCCCAUGCUCUGCCCCUACACUAUUUACACACACCCUCUUGCGCGCGCGUGCGCCACAACACCGCACCCCCGAAAAGAAUUAACACUAGAGGUACAGUGGAACGGAUACCUCGCGGCGCGGAAUGGCGAGGGUUCCGAGAGGGCGACGGUACGGGGGAGCGGGUGAGGUGGCGUGGGGCAGCGUAGCGGCUAAGGGGACGUCGAUCUGGGCGGAGCAGUGGGCGUGGGGACGUCGCCGGGGAAGAGGCUCGGGCUGGUUUGCUUUUGCUUUGGUGGGCGGAGCGGAGAGGAUGUGUGUGCGUGCCUGGGCGGAGGAAUUUGGCAAAAUAGGUCACUCUAGUUUGCCGCUCUGCAAAAU